AUUCUAGCCCUGUUGGACAGCCGAACCCAUCACAACAAAUCAAUGCCAAAAAUGGCAUUUCAAGAGGAAAACAUAGCAUUUAUUUAGUACCCCCAACAGAGUAGCUCAAAGUGAUUUGAAAAUGUCUCAUUAAUCCUCAUAACACCCCUGUGGGAUAAUAAUAAUAUUAUUAUAACGUUUAGGCGUAGAACUGUGGCAAAGCCAACAGCUUCUCUGAGCAUGUGCAGGAUUUCCUCAUAUUUCAGUCUGCAAUACUAGAGCCUGACUAAAACCGUCAGGUUUGCAAACAGCAAGGGUAAAUAAAUCUUGGUGUUUGGCCUUUCUGUGUUGCUCUAGGCAUAGUUUGUGUUUCCUACUGACCACAUCAAUCCCAGAAAUAGUUCACCAGUUGUUUGCCAGAUGGUAAGCAGCAUUUAGGAUUAGCUCAGAAGUGUUUGAGAGUGGGACAAGGCAGGGCUAGAGGUCCUGAUCCACAAUUACAGAUAAAUGAAUGGAGAAAUAGCACCUAGUAACAGUGUAAAAGCGUUCCUAUUUCUCCACAUC
rnacentral:lncRNA from 1 species